rnacentral:rRNA from 1 species
GACGAACGCUGGCGGCGUGCCUAAUACAUGCAAGUAGAACGCUGAAGCUUGGUGCUUGCACCGAGCGGAUGAGUUGCGAACGGGUGAGUAACGCGUAGGUAACCUGCCUGGUAGCGGGGGAUAACUAUUGGAAACGAUAGCUAAUACCGCAUAAGAGCAGAUGUUGCAUGACAUUUGCUUAAAAGGUGCAAUUGCAUCACUACCAGAUGGACCUGCGUUGUAUUAGCUAGUUGGUGAGGUAACGGCUCACCAAGGCAACGAUACAUAGCCGACCUGAGAGGGUGAUCGGCCACACUGGGACUGAGACACGGCCCAGACUCCUACGGGAGGCAGCAGUAGGGAAUCUUCGGCAAUGGACGGAAGUCUGACCGAGCAACGCCGCGUGAGUGAAGAAGGUUUUCGGAUCGUAAAGCUCUGUUGUAAGAGAAGAACGAGUGUGAGAGUGGAAAGUUCACACUGUGACGGUAUCUUACCAGAAAGGGACGGCUAACUACGUG